UACAGAGGUCUCAAGCGUUGUUCGGAUUCAUUGGGCGUAAAGGGUGCGUAGGUGGCAGAGUAAGUCGGAUGUGAAAUCCCGGGGCUCAACCUCGGAACUGCAUUCGAUACUGCUUUGCUGGAGUACUGGAGAGGAGAUUGGAAUUUACGGUGUAGCAGUGAAAUGCGUAGAUAUCGUAAGGAAGACCAGUGGCGAAGGCGGAUCUCUGGACAGUUACUGACACUGAGGCACGAAGGCCAGGGGAGCAAACGGG
rnacentral:rRNA from 1 species